rnacentral:rRNA from 1 species
AAUCAACGCUGGCGGCGUGCCUAACACAUGCAAGUCGAACGCGAAAGCCCGCAAGGGUAAGUAGAGUGGCGCACGGGUGAGUAACACGUGGACAACCUGCCUUCGAGUGGGGAAUAACCUUCCGAAAGGGGGGCUAAUACCGCAUAAAACCUCGGAACACAAGUUUCGGGGUUGAAAAGAGCAAUUUGCUCGAAGAGGGGUCCGCGCCUGAUUAGCUAAGUUGGUGAGGUAACGGCUCACCAAGGCUUCGAUCAGUAGCCGUCCUGAGAGGGAGCACGGCCACACUGGAACUGAGACACGGUCC